ACUAUGGUGGCCCUCUCGCAUACCAGAGAGUAGGGAUGGGAAUCGAGAACUGACAACUGACCGAUUCCAUCGGAAUUGUACGUCUCCAACGUUAUCGAAUGUUCUUAACGAUUCUCUCAUUUCACUGCACGACGUUUUUUUUCCGGUUUCCCCGAAAUUUUGCGUCGCGGUACAUUUACGGGAAUUCCCACCCUGCUGAGGUCCUUGAACGCACCGUCGACGUGCCGCUCGGCUCAGAGUGAGCGUCUGCUGAACGAUCUCUGUGGUGUGUGCGUCCAUGAAGCCACUUUACCAAGCUGCCAUCAAUCAGCGCUCCACCACUGUCCUCCCUGUCUGCCCUUGCUCUCACUCACAGCAAGUACACAUGGCAAAUUGGCUUUUAGAGGCCACACUGCUGGAGCCGCCGCUCUACUAAUAGUAUGGUCUCCAGAUAUUCUGCUCCAGUUUCUUAAUCCUCAGAGCUGUGUCAGGGUUUUUCCUCCCUUGUGAGCAACAUUUAUGUGCUGGUACACAUCACGCUCCUGUGGGUGUCCACCUCGUUGGGAACAGUUCAUGUGAAUUGUUAGCACUUAUUCUUUAUUAAGUUCACGUCCCCUGAUAGCUUCGUUACCCCCACUCAAAUUGCUGGAGUUUAUUGCAUAUAAAUAAAAUAUGAAUAUCAGUGCUGUGCA